CUCUGUCUCAAAAAUAAAUAAAAACUUUUAAAAAAAUUUUUUUUCUAAAAAAUAUGACAUUAGGUACAUGUAGUGAUUUUGCUUCUAAACCUCUGUUCUAAACAGAACAUGCCGGGGCAGUGACUUACGUCGAGACGGGACCGAGAAGCAGAGUUCUAGAUGUCUCCGAAAAUUACAAGAAAGUCCACGAUCCCGGGAGGGCUUGUGGAUCUUGAAAAGCUAGGGGUUUCACCCUAAUCAUGACCUGAGAGGUCUCUUCCCUCCCCUUCAAUUCCAGAAAUGUAUUUGAUGCUCCAGACAUACAUACCACAGACCCUGGACGUGAUGAGUCCUCUAUCCUGACGAAGCACACGUGGAAGGGUAUGACCCGUGCUUCCUCGGACCAGACAGUCAAAGGAAGAGACCCCCUCAAUACCCAGACAAAAAAAGAACGCUUGGAGAAAGAUCAACUUCACGUGCCCAAGCAACGCUUCAUCAACUUUGGAAUGUCACAAACGAUGUGAUUCUACAAGGCACCGGGAGACUGGCAGAAGGUUGCCAACUGUACCUUUUGCCAAAUGAAGUAAUAUUUUAAACA